rnacentral:rRNA from 1 species
ACAGCAGUAGCCGCGGUAAUACAGAGGGUGCAAGCGUUAAUCGGAAUUACUGGGCGUAAAGCGCGCGUAGGUGGUUUGUUAAGUUGGAUGUGAAAUCCCCGGGCUCAACCUGGGAACUGCAUCCAAAACUGGCAAGCUAGAGUAUGGUAGAGGGUGGUGGAAUUUCCUGUGUAGCGGUGAAAUGCGUAGAUAUAGGAAGGAACACCAGUGGCGAAGGCGACCACCUGGACUGAUACUGACACUGAGGUGCGAAAGCGUGGGGAGCAAACAGGAUUAGAUACCCGCGUAGUCCCUGUCUCUUAUAU